rnacentral:rRNA from 1 species
GGGCCCGCACAAGCGGUGGAGCAUGUGGUUUAAUUCGAUGAUACGCGAGGAACCUUACCAGGGCUUAAAUGUAGUCUGACAGAUUUGGAAACAGAUUUUUCUUCGGACAGAUUACAAGGUGCUGCAUGGUUGUCGUCAGCUCGUGCCGUGAGGUGUCAGGUUAAGUCCUAUAACGAGCGCAACCCCUGUGGUUAGUUGCCAGCGAGUCAAGUCGGGAACUCUAGCCAGACUGCCGGUGCAAACCGUGAGGAAGGUGGGGAUGACGUCAAAUCAUCACGGCCCUUACGUCCUGGGCCACACACGUGCUACAAUGGUAGGUACAGAGAGCAGCCACGUCGCAAGGCGGAGCGAAUCUAUAAAACCUAUCACAGUUCGGAUCGGGGUCUGCAACUCGACCCCGUGAAGCUGGAAUCGCUAGUAAUCG